UUCCAAGCCCCUCAACAACCACAAGACCGGCGAUCGGUUUUCGAUACACACAUAUCGAAGAAAUUGAAAUCUUUGACGCGCCGCGCGUAAGAACAGCAUGCUCAUCGGCAGCAUCUGACAGUCGUCGACCAAGGUCGCUGUAUCGACGUUUAUUUUUAAUAUUUUCGCCUAAACCGUUGGCCAAAACAAACUUUCGAGUGCGCUUUUCCGAUAAAUAAGGUUCGUAUUUAGUAGAGCGAGUGCUUAUUGCUUGUAAGCCCAUGGGAAGAAUUCGCGAGUUGGUGGUGAAUCUGCAGCGGAGCUCUCCGGAUGAGUCGUGGGGUUUCAGUUUGGUGGGGGGUGCGGACGUUAAAACCCCUUUGAUAAUUACGAAGGUGUCGUUCGGAUCGCCAGCACAGGGUGUUCUACAAAGAGGUGAUAUUAUUACCAAAGUUGGUAAUUACGAUUCCAGAGAUAUAAGACAUCAAGACGCGCAGAAUUUGUUUAGGGAUGCGGGAAACAAUAUCAGAGUAGUAGUACAACGAGAAACACAACCACGUUACAAUACUAGCACAGGUUCUUCCAGAAACAGUUCCCAUUACAGUCCGUUAUCAGUGUCACCAAAUUUAUCACCUAGAGGACAACCACUUAGUCCAGGAUACAGCACAGGAGGGUCGGCGUUAACUCCAACGUACACGCCGCUAACUUCAAUCGACAAUAAUUACUUUGAUUCUUACGAAUAUGGACCAGGAAGGAGGGGAGAGGACCAAAAUGGUGACAUUCAUGUCACCAGACAGCCGUACCGUACAACACCGUUGGUACUUCCCGGUGCCAAGGUGAAAAGGGAACCCGGACCGACAGAAAGUUACCUACGUCAUCAUCCUAACCCAAGUGUCAGAGCGCCACCACCGCAUUUAGUUCCACAUCAAAAGGUUGCUCACUCGCUUUUAGAUAGAAUAUCUACAGGUGAUCCAAACAAACAGGUUGUACACAAACAAUUCAAUUCACCACUCAACCUAUACAGUGAGCCAAAUGUAGUGGACACUAUCCACAGGCAAACUGGACUUCAGGCCUCAAUAAACAGUGCACCUAAGAGAUCGGUAAAGUUCAAUCCUGCUGAGAGCGAAACAUUUAAGUACUUGCAGGAGGAGGAACAUGGCGGCUACGGAGGUCCCGUCCAAGAGAUCAGCGUGCCUCCGCAGAGUAAAAUAUACGCCCCCACCAAGGUAAACGAUAUUAAAAGUAGGAUUAAGACGGCUUAGUUGUAGCUCGUGGCACUAGAAUGCGCUUUAGUCGUGGCUGCGUUGAUGCCUUAUUUGCUCACAAAAAGGUCCCCACGUAGUUAACCAAAGUAACCCUCAAUACUUAAGCGCCAUAGGAAACGAUCCAGAGGUCAUUCAGCAAAGUGGAUCCUUCAGGAGGCUGAUGAUGUCCGUUCUACCAGGAAGCAACUACUAAACGC
rnacentral:misc_RNA from 1 species